rnacentral:rRNA from 1 species
GAUGAACGCUGGCGGCGUGCCUAAUACAUGCGAGUCGAGCGAACGGACGAGAAGCUUGCUUCUCUGAUGUUAGCGGCGGACGGGUGAGUAACACGUGGAUAACCUACCUAUAAGACUGGGAUAACUUCGGGAAACCGUAGCUAAUACCGGAUAAUAUUUUGAACCGCAUGGUUCAAAAGUGAAAGACGGUCUUGCUGUCACUUAUAGAUGGAUCCGCGCUGCAUUAGCUAGUUGGUAAGGUAACGGCUUACCAAGGCAACGAUGCAUAGCCGACCUGAGAGGGUGAUCGGCCACACUGGAACUGAGACACGGUCCAGACUCCUACGGGAGGCAGCAGUAGGGAAUCUUCCGCAAUGGGCGAAAGCCUGACGGAGCAACGCCGCGUGAGUGAUGAAGGUCUUCGGAUCGUAAAACUCUGUUAUUAGGGAAGAACAUAUGUGUAAGUAACUGUGCACAUCUUGACGGUUCCUAAUCAGAAAGCCACGGCUAACUACGUG